UUACGUCCAUAUCACGUUGAAACACCGGUUCCCCUACUAUUACCGAAGUUAAGCAACGUUGUGCCUAGUCAGUACCUAGAUGGGUGACCAAUUAGAAAUAUCAUAUGCUGUAAG